GAGAGUGGAAGUCAAGUCCCACAGGUGACCAAGCUAGGGAGAGUGUCCCCAGUCACAAUUGGAGUCUUAUGUAAGAAGAAAUAAGGAAGGCUACUGGGUUGAAUCUGAAAGUAGAAAACUCAUAACAAGGCUAUGUGUGAACAUCAAGAGAGAAUUCAAGAUGGCGGGGAUGACACUCUUUAGUCCAUGUGUGCCUGGUUUUCAUCAUCUCCUUGACUAACACACAUGUGGGCGCCUUUACCUCUGAAGACUUUUUCUCUUCUAACUGAUGAUGCUCCAUUCUCUUCUGACAAAAGCUCCCUGCCGAGGCCUGAUUGAACCUCUGCCCUAUGGUUCCUUGAAACAUCGUCAUAUUCUUGUACUAAAUUCCCCAUUUUCUUAAGCUAGCUCUGGUAAGUUUUUGCCAUUUACAGUCAAAGUGAACUCACUAAUAAAAUAUUCCCAA